rnacentral:snoRNA from 22 species
AGUGCCCUCAGGUAUUGUGGUGUUUGUUGCUUAUCGCCAUCACAGGUUCAAGAGGCACAAGA